rnacentral:pre_miRNA from 1 species
CUUGUACUCCCUCCGUCCGAAAAUACUUGUCAUUGAAAUGGAUGUAUCUAGAUGUAUUUUAGUUCUAGACACAUCCAUUUUGAUGACAAGUAAUUCUGGGCGGAGGGAGUACUUG